UGAUUGAAGAAGGUCUUCGCGUUGUAGGCUACUAUCCGCCAAUACUAUGUCGAUGCUUGAUCAACACCCAAUGGUGACUAUGGAACAGUCACUGCAAAAACAAACAGCGAGCUAACUACGUGCCAGCAGCCGCGGUAAUACGUAGGGUGCGAGCGUUAAUCGGAAUUACUGGGCGUAAAGCGUGCGCAGGCGGUUUCGUAAGCCAGACGUGAAAUCCCCGGGCUUAACCUGGGAACUGCGUUUGGGACUGCGAGGCUAGAGUACGGCAGAGGGAGGUGGAAUUCCACGUGUAGCAGUGAAAUGCGUAGAUAUGUGGAGGAACACCGAUGGCGAAGGCAGCCUCCUGGGCUAGUACUGACGCUCAUGCACGAAAGCGUGGGGAGCAAACAGGAUUAGAUACCCUGGUAGUCCACGCCCUAAACGAUGACAACUAGUUGUUGGGGAUUUACAUCCUUAGUAACGCAGCUAACGCGUGAAGUUGUCCGCCUGGGGAGUACGGUCGCAAGAUUAAAACUCACAGGAAUUGACGGGGGCCCGCACAAGCGGUGGAUGAUGUGGUUUAAUUCGAUGCACCGCGUAAAACCUU
rnacentral:rRNA from 1 species